UCUCCGUUGGUGAACCAGCGGAGGGAUCAUUACCGAGUUUACAACUAACAAACACAAUGUGAAUCAUACCUAACUGUUGCCUCGGCGGGGUAACGCCCCGGGUGCGUCGCAGCCCCGGAACCAGGCGCCCGCCGGAGGGACCAACCAAACUCUUUCUGUAGUCCCCUCGCGGACGUUAUUUUUUCAGCUCUGAUCAAAAAUUCAAAAUGAAUCAAAACUUUCAACAACGGAUCUCUUGGUUCUG
rnacentral:misc_RNA from 1 species